GGAUUGUAGCUCAGUGGGAGAGUGCUUGCCUAACACAUGCAAGGCCCUGGGUUCAAGCCUCAGCACCA
rnacentral:tRNA from 1 species